AGACAGUAACAGUGAAGAAUUUAAAAAUCUUAAAAUCCGAGUAGACAGAAAUUGUAAAGAAAAACUCGACGAAGUCUAUGGAGUUCCAGGGUCCACAUGCAGUGCAAACAGAUUUAAGGAAUCUGCACAACAAAUCAGAGUCAGUGCCACUGAUGUAGAAAUGACAAUUACAUUUCCAUCUUCGGUGCCUCUUGCCAAUCUUCCAUCAAGAGCCAAUCUUGCUCAGGCUCUCGAGAGUGGAAACAGCACUUUUGGCAGCAUUGUUGUGACCUCUUUUACACCUGCUGCAAAUUUGACCACAACAGCUCCCCCAACAACAACAACAGCUCCCCCAACAACAACAACAGCUCCCCCAACAAC